GAAGGAGGACUAGUUGGAGAUGGAGCAGAGGAUUCUUUAGUUGGAUAAGAGGCCAUUGCAUUGACAGCACAAACACCAUAUGCUAGAUCAGUGUUCCUUCUUAGAUAGAAAUAACCGUCCAUACCCCAAUCUGUACCCCAUGAAUUCUUCACAAUCCAAUAAUCUUCAUCAUCUUCGGAGCCAUAACCAACGAUAAGAACAGCAUGAUCUAUGUCGUCAGGAUUAUCAGAGCAGCUACCAUCAUAGAUCCCACUUGUAUAAAGUUGAAAAUCGAUUGCAGAACCAUCCAUACCCACACUAAUAGGUUGAUAAGCAGUAGCACACAAGAGAGCACUGUCUGAUUCAGCUACGUCUUCGUACCCAUCAAUAGAUACAAUUUUUCUCUCCUCCUUGGUGGUGUUGCAGGUGCCAUCUACACCAGUGUAAGGAUAAUCAGCUUCUGUAUCAAUUCCACCAUUGUCAAUAACCCACUCAAAAGCAUAGUCCAUAUAGCCUCCAUCACAUCCAUCAUUGGUUGAAUCACAAUCUACGAGUUCUUGUUCUGAAAGGCUAAUGAGGUCUCCAGUGACCAGGGCAUUUACUCCUUCUAUUGCGCCAGUUGUAGAGAAUGACCAACAACUUCCACAGUCUCCUUGGUCCUUAACAGCAGUAACAACUCCCUUCUUCCUCCAAUCCAAGCUCGAAGGCAAAUCAUCGCAGGUCUGCAAAUUUCUCUGCCACCUACUAGUCUUCAGAUUGCUAUUUUUACUGAUGGGUUUUUUCACUUUCGACAAAUAUCGUUGCCUAAACUCCUCAUUGCUCAUAUCAGCAAACUUGUUCAAUCCAACUGUAUGCCCUGAAUGCGACUCUCUCUUUGCAUUCUUUUCGAUCACAUACUUCAAGUUCCUACGAAAAUUUUUGAACCUCUUUUCUGUCUCCUCUGCAUGCCUGUAAACCUUUCUGUACUUCUGUUUCCAUUGUUGAAAGAGCUCGAUGACACGUUCCUCUGAAAGCAGCUCAUGAAGGUCAUUACCCACUAUGGAGUACUCACUAGGGAGGCUCAAAGAGAGGCAUAUUGGUGGAGCUAAAAGCAAGAAAAAGAAAAGCAAUUGGGAUUUUUGGAAACCCAUUUCUUUCUGAAACUGGGUUACCUCUGG
rnacentral:misc_RNA from 1 species